rnacentral:tRNA from 1 species
GAGGGAAUAGCUCAAGUGGUAGAGCACAUGCUUAGCAUGCGCAAGGUCCUGGGUUCAACUCCCAGUACCUCCU